AGCCCCAGUAGUGAUUCACAUCAAAUUGCAAAUUUGAAACUACACCCUAGGAGGUGUCGGGGCUU
rnacentral:tRNA from 1 species